AGUAGAAUGGCCGAGAAAAAUUUACAGGUAAUAAAUUGUAAAUUUAUUUAGAGAUGUUAAUAUCUUUCUACUA
rnacentral:tRNA from 1 species